CCUACGGGAGGCAGCAGUGGGGAAUAUUGCACAAUGGGGUUAACCCUGAUGCAGCAACGCCGCGUGGGUGAAGAAGUACUUCUGUAUGUACAGCCCUGUCAGCAGGGAAGAAAAUGACGGUACCUGACCAAGAAGCCCCGGCUAACUACGUGCCAGCAUCCGCUGUAAUACGUAGGGUGCAGGCGUUAUCCGGAUUUACUGGGUGUAAAGGGAGCGUAGGCGGGAAGGCAAGUCUGGAGUGAAAGCCCGUGGCUCAACCACGGGACUGCUUUGGAAACUGUGUUGCUGGAGUGCAGGAGGGGUAAGCGGAAUUCCUGGUGUAGCGGUGAAAUGCGUAGAUAUACGGAGGAACACCAGUGGCGAAGGCGGCAUGCUGGACAUUAACUGACGCUGAGGCGCGAAAGCGUGGGGAGCAAACAGGAUUAGAUACCCGGGUAGUC
rnacentral:rRNA from 1 species